CAAUAGCGUAUAUUAAAGUUGUUGCAGUUAAAAAGCUCGUAGUUGGAUUUCUGGUGGGAGCGAUCGGUCUGGCGCUUAGCGCGAGUACUUGCAUCGUCUCCGGCCAUCCUUGGGGAGAGUCUGUCUGGCAUUAGGUUGUCGGGCAGAGGAUCCUCAUCGUUUACUGUGAAAAAAUUAGAGUGUUCAAAGCAGGCUUAUGCCGUUGAAUAUAUUAGCAUGGAAUAAUAAGAUAGGACUUUGGUACUAUUUUGUUGGUUUGCGCACCAAAGUAAUGAUUAAUAGGGACAGUUGGGGGUAUUCGUAUUCCGUUGUCAGAGGUGAAAUUCUUGGAUUUACGGAAGACGAACUACUGCGAAAGCAUUUACCAAGGAUGUUUNCAUUA
rnacentral:rRNA from 1 species